UGAUCUCGGCAUUGAUGAAAUUAGUGAGGUGAACAAAGAGCAAUCCUGCACGAGUAGUAAUGGAAAUAAGGAUGUCAUUGGUGUCAGCAAUGAUGGAAUUAGUGAGGUGGACAAAGAGAAAUCCUGCACGAGUAGUAACGGAACUGCAGAUGUCAUUGGCAUCGGCAGUAAUGGAAUUAGUGAGGCGGACAAAGAGCAAUCCUGCACGAGUGGACAUAAGGAUGUCAUGUAAGUUGUUUA